UACGUAGGGGGCAAGCGUUGUCCGGAUUUAUUGGGCGUAAAGAGCUCGUAGGCGGUUUGGUAAGUCUGGUGUGAAAUCUCCACGCUCAACGUGGGGGGGCCACCCGAUACUGCCAUGACUGGAGUCCGGUAGAGGAGUGUGGAAUUCCCGGUGUAGCGGUGAAAUGCGCAGAUAUCGGGAAGAACACCCGUGGCGAAGGCGGCACUCUGGGACGGUACUGACGCUGAGACGCGAAAGCGUGGGGAGCGAACGAGGAUU
rnacentral:rRNA from 1 species